AGCUCCAAUAGCGUAUAUUAAAGUUGUUGCAGUUAAAAAGCUCGUAGUUGGAUUUCUGGCUCUAAAUACUUGGCUCGCCUCGCAAGAGUGUGUUGCAUUAGUGUUGGGGUCAUCCUUCUGGAAAGCACUUCUUCCCUUCAUUGGUGAGGGGGUGUGAUCUAGAUCUUUUACUUUGAAAAAAUUAGAGUGUUCAAAGCAAGCUCAAAGCUGUGAAUACAUUAGCAUGGAAUAAUAAGAUAGGACUUUGUUUCUAUUUUGUUGGUUUCUAGGGACGAAGUAAUGAUUGAUAGGGAUAGUUGGGGGUGCUAGUAUUCAAUGGCCAGAGGUGAAAUUCUUGGAUUCAUUGAAGACUAACUAAUGCGAAAGCAUUCACCAAGGAUGUCUUCUUUAAUCAAGAACG
rnacentral:rRNA from 1 species